rnacentral:RNase_P_RNA from 1 species
AAAGUCGGCCAGGCAAUCGCUGCGUGCGCAAGCACGGGGAGGAAAGUCCGGGCUCCAUUGGGCAGGAUGCCAGUUAACGACUGGGUGCUAUAAGUCGCAAGACCCAAGGCAACGGAAAGUGCAACAGAGAACAGACCGCCGAUGGCCCCGCAAGGGGAUCAGGUAAGGGUGAAACGGCGAGGUAAGAGCUCACCGCGUCCACGGUAACGGCGGACGGCACGGUAAACCCCAUCCGGAGCACGAGCAAAUAGGGAAGCUGAGGCGUGGCCCGCGCUGCUUCCGGGUAGGUUGCUUGAGCCUGUCGGUGACGGCAGGCCUAGAGGAAUGAUUGCCGAACCCCGCAAGGGGGGAACAGAACCCGGCUUAUCGGCCGGCUUUCCAA